rnacentral:rRNA from 1 species
AGAGUUUGAUCCUGGCUCAGGAUGAACGCUGGCGGUAUGCUUAACACAUGCAAGUCGAACGAAUCCCUUCGGGGAUUAGUGGCGGACGGGUGAGUAACGCGUGAGAAUUUACCAAAAGGAUUGGGACAACCACUGGAAACGGUGGCUAAUACCGGAUGAACCGAAAAGUAAAAAGGGAAACCUGCCUUUUGAAGAGCUCGCGUCUGAUUAGCUAGUUGGUGAGGUAAGAGCUCACCAAGGCAGCGAUCAGUAGCUGGUCUGAGAGGAUGACCAGCCACACUGGGACUGAGACACGGCCCAGACUCCUACGGGAGGCAGCAGUGGGGAAUUUUCCGCAAUGGGCGAAAGCCUGACGGAGCAAUACCGCGUGAGGGAAGAAGGCUCUUGGGUCGUAAACCUCUUUUAUCAGGGAAGAAAAAAAUGACGGUACCUGAAGAAUCAGCCUCGGCUAACUCCGUGCCAGCAGCCGCGGUAAUACGGAGGAGGCAAGCGUUAUCCGGAAUUAUUGGGCGUAAAGCGUCCGCAGGUGGCUUAUCAAGUCUGCUGUCAAAGAGUGGGGCUUAACCCCAUUAAGGCAGUGGAAACUGAGAAGCUAGAGUGCCGUAGGGGUAGAGGGAAUUCCCGGUGUAGCGGUGAAAUGCGUAGAGAUCGGGAAGAACAUCGGUGGCGAAAGCGCUCUACUGGACGGCAACUGACACUCAGGGACGAAAGCUAGGGGAGCGAAUGGGAUUAGAUACCCUAGUAGUCC